rnacentral:lncRNA from 1 species
CCCAAGCUGUGCUUACAUAUUAUCAUUUAUCAAUCAAAAAAGAACCAUUUAAAAUUGUCAUAACUGGGCCAAAGUCAUAACCUCAAGUCCUUAACUGUCCUUAACAAAGUUUAAUGGUUUACAAUUAAGAAUACAUAAUCUAAAUUAUGACUUAACAAAGUCUAAUUAUAAUCUAGCAACAUGCAGCAAGUCAGCAACAUUGCAGCAGCUAGCAGCCAGCACUAGAAGUGCAACAGCAACAGCAACAACCAACAUGAGCAUCAACAGCAACAACAAAAUUAAUCCAGUGCUUCCUUUGUACAAGCAACACAACAGCUGCAUCUAGUGAAUCAUCAACAGUGCUUCCUUUAACAGUACAACUGUUAUCCAUAAUAUAUAGUAUUAUUGAAUAUAUAUAUAUAUAUAUAUAUAUAUAUAAUAAAACAGAACAGAAUUAUAAGAAAAAAUCCGAGUCCUUUGAAUUCACAAAGUCUCCUUAAAACAAAUUUAUUCUCUCAGUGAUGCUAAAGGAUUUAUUGAAUAAUUGCUUCCCAAGAUAAAACGGAUUUUCAAUUCUUAAUUAGAAGCACUUCAAAAUUAAGAAUACUUCGAACCAAAUUCUAUGUUAUGUACUGAACUUACAGUAAUGAUGCCAGUAAUGAUGCAUGUAGAUACUGGAAAGAAUGAAGAAAACUGAGAAAACUGCACACUGUAUUUUUGGCAGAGAACGGAACGGGAAUUAUUUUGCAGAAAACGGGAAGGAACAGAAACGGGAAUAUAAAACUUAUGUUGAACGGGAUUCCCACAUUGUUUAUUUAUAGAACAAUUAAAAACCAACACUCUAGUGUCCAUAAACCAUGAACUAUUGGGAGUCUAAUCUCUGUUUUAAAGUUUUGCUACAUAUAUUAUACUUCACAAAACUUAUUUCAAGCUCAUGUGCAGGAAACAUAACUAUUUUUGUUUGUAUCACUAGUACAAAUACUAUGUAAUAACAAGAACUCUCUUUGAUAAACAAGACAUUACAUCUAAGAAACUGGACAAUACAUUAGACCAUUUGAUUUUAGUGAAUUUUAUGUGGGCUGCUGGAGGCUGGAUUACUAUGCUUUUUGCUCCCUAUUUUGGCACAUCAAACAAAGAGCAACCGAAAAAUGAGAGGAAAUUUUUACCUUCCAACAGUGGGUGUUAAACAUCCAUCUACUCCUAAACUAAAACUGAAGAGUAGGAGAUAGUUGAUGUUUCCUUUGUCCUGUGUCAAGAUUUAGUUUUUUUUUUUGGGUCCUUCAAUUGCAGUUGCUCUAGCAAAAGUUCAAAGCAAAUUAAUAUCACAGGGGAAUACUGGAAACUGAGUCAUAAAGUAGCACACGACUCUAGUUAGAAUAUUAGUAGCCUUUGUAUAUUUGUCAAAG